rnacentral:rRNA from 1 species
GUGCCAGCAGCCGCGGUAAUACGUAGGGUGCAAGCGUUAAUCGGAAUUACUGGGCGUAAAGCGUGCGUAGGCGGGUCUUUAAGCCAGGGGUGAAAGCCCGGAGCUCAACUUGGGAAUGGCGCUUGUGACUGCAAGGCUAGAGUAUGUCAGAGGGGGGUAGAAUUCCACGUGUAGCAGUGAAAUGCGUAGAGAUGUGGAGGAAUACCGAUGGCGAAGGCAGCCCCCUGGGACGUCACUGACGCUCAUGCACGAAAGCGUGGGGAGCAAACAGGAUUAGAUACCCUGGUAGUCC